rnacentral:rRNA from 1 species
GUCUGCGGCCAUACCACCUUGAACGCGCCUGAUCUCGGAAGCUAAGCAGGGUCGGGCCUAGUUAGUACUUGAAUGGGAGUCCGCCAGGGAUACUGAGUGCUGUAGGCU